GGCGACUGAAGCGGGAAGAGCCCAUGUUGCCAAACCUUCGGGUGUUGUGCCAUGCGUGUCUUUUGUCUGGCCAGGAGUAAAUCCCUUGGAACAGGGUAUCAGAGAGGGUGACAAUCCCGUUCGCCUCUUGGCUUUGGCAAUUGUAGACCGUGUAACGGAGUCGAGUUGCUUGGGAUUGCAGCUCAAAGCGGGUGGUAAAUUCCAUCUAAGGCUAAAUACGGGUGGGAGACCGAUAGCGAACAAGUACUGUGAAGGAAAGAUGAAAAGCACUUUGGA
rnacentral:rRNA from 1 species